rnacentral:rRNA from 1 species
UACGUAGGGGGCUAGCGUUGUCCGGAAUCAUUGGGCGUAAAGAGCGUGUAGGCGGUCCGGUAAGUCCGCUGUGAAAGUCGGGGGCUCAACCCUCGGAUGCCGGUGGAUACUGUCGGGCUUGAGUACGGAAGAGGCGAGUGGAAUUCCUGGUGUAGCGGUGGAAUGCGCAGAUAUCAGGAGGAACACCUAUAGCGAAGGCAGCUUGCUGGGACGUAACUGACGCUAAGGCGCGAAAGCGUGGGGAGCGAACAGG